rnacentral:lncRNA from 1 species
AUCAUUACAUGAAUUGUACAGAUAUUAAUGUGUAUGUGAUUAAUAGAAAUAUGAUAAGACAAAGCCUUAAUAGGCAAGGAAAAAUCCCGUUUGAACCUUAGGAAUAAAUUAGGAUACGAGUGACAUGUCACUAGGAAUUAUGAGUCUAGAUGACUAGCUCGAUAGUGAGCAUUGAAAUGUCAUGAGAUAUGAGAUAGCUUUAGCUACAAUUGAGGCACUUAUGUGCAAAGGCUUUUCCGAGUAUCCAAUUAGUAUUCCAAGUGUUCAACGGGCAAUCCAAGGAAAGAGUUGAUGAUGGUCCCAAUGAGGUAAGUCAUUGGUGAGUAUGCACUCGAGUUAUGUUACGAGUUGUGCAAGUAUGUAUACUAAGCCUAUGAGAAUGCCUUGAUAUGUGAUGAUCUAUGAUGCAUAAUAUGUGUUCUUACCAUGAUGGAUAAAAUGGUGUUGUAUUAAUAUUAUGAACAAUGACC